GACAACAGAACUUCAACAAUGACUUUCAUCAUGAGCUUUGUGUGGAUAUUGAUGUUCUUCAUUCAGGAAUCCAGAGGUCAGUACACUGUGACUCAGACUCCUACAGAGGAAACUGUUCUCCCAGGACAGACAGUCUCUCUGAAGUGUAAAACCAGCAGUCAUGUGUAUUAUGCAGAUGCCAAAUAUCCCAUACUAGCCUGGUACCACCAGAAACCUGGAGGAGCUCCUAAACUCCUUAUUUACCGUGCUAAAACACUUCAGUCUGGGACUCCAUCUAGAUUCAGUGGCAGUGGAUCUCAUAGUGACUUCACUCUGACCAUCAGUGAAGUCCAGGCUGAAGAUGCAGGAUAUUACUACUGUCAGAGUUAUAACAGUGAUCCAGCGUUCACACAGUGAUACAGAGCCGUACAAAAACCUCCUUCAGUCAGACUGCACAGUAAAUGUACUGCUACA